AUGGAUCGCGUUUCCAAUGCUGUGCACAUCCAGAUGCCUGCGCCGGCGCAACAAUCCUCUGCUCCCAUGGCCCAGCCACCGACGGGCGUCGCGCCGGCCGACAAGACGCUCUCGAGCGCGUCGGACCUCCUGAAGCUCCUGCCGACGGGCACGGUGCUGGCCUUCCAGGCGCUGGCGCCUUCCUUCAGCAACAACCAUGGCGUCUGCCACGCGGCCAACAGAUACCUGGUCCAGGCGCUCAUCGGCGGCUGCGCCGCCUCCUGCGUGCUCCUCUCCUUCACGGACAGCCUCGUCGGCCGCGACGGCAGGCUCUACUACGGCGCGGCCACCUUCGGGGGCUUCUACCCUUUCAACUUCACCGGCACGCGCGCCGAGCGGGACGCGGUGUUCAAGGACCUCUCCAGGUUCCGGGUCACGCCCAUGGACUUGGUGCACGCCGUCGUCUCCGCGCUCGUGUUCCUCGCCGUCGCGUUCGCCGACGCCGGCGUACAGGGCUGCCUGUUCCCGGACGCCGCGAGGGACUUGAGGGAGCUGCUGGUCAACUUGCCGGUUGCCGCUGGCUUCCUCGCUAGCAUGGUGUUCAUGAUCUUCCCCACCACCAGGAAGAACAUCGGCUACACGGAUAUGAUGCCCCACUCGCAGUGA
rnacentral:rRNA from 1 species